AUUUAAAUAGUUUAAAAUAAAAUAUUGAUUUGUGGUGUCGAUGAUAUGAAUUUAUUCAUUUUAAAUU
rnacentral:tRNA from 1 species